CCUACGGGUGACUGCAGUGGGGAAUAUUGCACAAUGGGGGGAACCCUGAUGCAGCGACGCCGCGUGAGUGAAGAAGUAUUUCGGUAUGUAAAGCUCUAUCAGUAGGGAAGAAAAUGACUGUACCUGACUAAGAAGCUCCGGCCAACUACGUGCCAGCAGCCGCGGUAAUAUGCAGGGGGCAAGCGUUAUCCGGAUUUACGGGGUGUAAAGGGAGCGUAGACGGCAGAGCAAGUCUGAAGUGAAAGCCCGCGGACCAACUGCGGGACUGCAUUGGAAACUGGCCGGCUAGAGUGCUGGAGAGGUAAGAGGAAUUCCUGGUGUAGCGGUGAAAUGCGUAGAUAUUACGAAGAACACCGAUGGCGAAGGCAGCUUACUAGACAGUCACUGACGGUGAGGCUCGAAAGCGUGGGGAGCAAACAGGAUUAGAUACCCUUGUAGUC
rnacentral:rRNA from 1 species